UCAUCUGUAUCAAACAAAGAUUUGAUUCAGAUUUUUUAAGAAACUACAGAAUUAAAAAUACGUAUCUGAGUAAUUUAACCAGUAGUCUAGAUCUAUCACCUGAAUCUCAACAAUAAUGUUUAAUGCCAAAAUCAACUUAAAACACGACUUGAUUUAAAUGAGGACUAUGUUAAAGUUCUCAAUAGCAGGGUCAGAGUCAGCGUCCUCAAAGAUAGGGUCAUGUCACAGCACAUCUCUUAGCAAUUUCACUUCUCUCUGAAAUCAUCUGUCUUAACUGUCCUCUCUCAGGCACUUCCAACCCUACAGCUCUCUGCUGCUCUCUCUGUCACACCCAGGAACUCAGGGCAGGGAGGUGAGGGCAGUCUCCUUGUUCUCGGCUGCUGCUUCUCCACCCUCUUCCUCCCGGGGCCUUGCCAUUUGCCACCACCUUCCCUGGCAUCUGCCGUCCAUCACUACCCUUCCGUCUCUGAAAACGCUGGCAUUUAGCUCAGAUUCCUUGACCCUGUCCUGUGCCAUCUUUCCAGUUGACACCAUUCCCAACAGAUAAGAAGCAACAGCCCCCUUCAUCUUCCUGACUUCUCAACUUUUGCCAUCUUGCAAGUUUCCUCUGAAGUAAUAAAUUCCUUCUGUUCUGACCGCAACCUCUGCUCCCUUUCUAGCAGCCUUUCUGUCCUUGGAUCUUUACCAACUUCCUCAGCUCCUUGUUCUCUCUUCCUGCCCAAACCAGCUGAAAUUCCCUCUUACUAGUACCAGCUUCUUGACACACCUUCAAAACCCCAACUACAGAUCGAUGCAACUUCCUUCCUUCUCCAUGCCUCACUCUGCUUGCUACGCACUGUGGGUGUUGUACCUAACUGGGUUCACUAUGAUGCCUGACAAUCCUGUUGCUUCAGCCAUGGCCCUGACCCUACUCCGCUCACCCCAAAUGGCCAUGAACUCUUUCUGCACAGAGAGAAAAGUCGUCAGUAAAGAACUCUUCCCACUGAUUUUCAAGGGCUACCCUGCCUUGCUCAGAUCCCAUCCUCUCCCACCUUCUCAAGGGCCAGAGUAUAUCCAGCCUCCCUCCACCUGCUCUGUCCUGAUCAGUAUUUGCAUAUCUUCAAGUCUCCUGGUAGAGGAGAGAAAACUUACCUCCCACCCACUUAGUUGAACUUCCUGAACUGCCUGUCUUCUACGAUAAAAGACCCUUCUUGUUUCCCUCCUUGCCUCUCUGGCCACUCUCAGUCACCCUUAAAAUGUUGGGGCUUAAGCUCUAACUUUCAUCACAAUCUGCAUGUGAGUGACCCACUAACCUAGAUCUAAGGCCUAGAUGUGCCUUCUAUCUAUAUAACCAUGUACCCCUCAGCACAGGCAAAAUGGAGCCCAGGACUGUUCUGCUUAUGUUCCCCACUGCCCCAGCUGCCCCACCAGAAGCCUCCACUCCUCAUCUCCUGAGUCUACUCAAACACCAUGGCCUUGUCAGUACUGCCUCUGGAGUGUCAACUCUAGCCACUUCUUGGCAUCUCAUCCUAGUCUAGACCACCAUCCCAAACCUGGACAACCAUACAGCCUACGUCUUCCUGCCAGUGUGCUUUCCACAAAAAGUCAUUCACCACGAGAGCCCAGGCGGAUGUCCACGCCCCAGUGAGGGAGACAGUACUCGCCCUUCUGCAGGAUAAAAGCAGCUCAGCGCUGAGCGGAAUGAGAGGUCUGCAACCUAACAAUAUUCCCAGCAAAAUGGUUCCUUUGCCGCCUCCUGCUUGCUUGAAAAGAAACGGAGGCUGCUGCACCCCCACUUACAAAAGGUCUCCUGGCCCACGCGCACUUUAAUCAUGAUCCACUCCAUCGUUCCUCCGAGGACAAAAAAGAAGGGCAGGAACCUGUAGACGCCGAAUCGCUGCUUCCCGGGCACCCGCUGCAGAACCCGCCUCACCUGGGCCCUGGAAAACAUGCCGGACAUAGGGAGGUCGUUGGAGGAGGGUAAGGCGGAACGAAGGCU